rnacentral:lncRNA from 1 species
UGGGCAUACAAAAGGUGGGAGAAGGGACCCUGAGCCAAUGGAUGCAGGUGGCCUCUAGAAGGCAGGAAAGAGAAAGAAACAAAUUCUCCCCUUGAGCUUCCAGAGGGAAUGCCGCCCUGCCAGCAUCUUGAUUUUAGCUCCAUAAAACUCAUUUUAGAGUUCUGACCUCCAGAACAGCUAGAUAAUAUGAUGAUUUACCUGUUGAAGAACUUUGGCCAUUUGACCUGUGAUGUUUCCUAAGUGAGGAUUUUGCUGACUACGUACUUAUGGUGCCGCUCUCCAUUUUCCUCCAUCUUCUGUACGUCCUGCAAAUUGGCAGCUGAGUCCAGCAGCUUGAUCAGACUCAGAUUUCAUUCCUUUGGCAAAAACGCUUUUUUUGGAAUAUCUUCUAAGACCGCCUCCAAGAGUCCAGCUAGCUGGUAUAUGACAAAUAUAAUCCUCUACCCUUGAGUGUGGGCAGGACCUGUGAAUAUAAGGGAUAUUAUUCCCAUGAUUAGGUUACAUUAUAUGGCAAAGAUGAGAGGGUUUUUCAGCUAUAAUUAAGAUUCCUAAUCAGUUGGCUUUAAGUUAAUCAAGAGGGAGAGUAUCCUAGGUGGGCCCAACCUAAUCAGGAGACUCAUUUAAAUGAGAGUCUAAAGGUCAGAGACAGAAAAGUCAGAGAGAUUCAAAGUAGCAAAGACACUCUCUCAUUGGUCUUGAAAAACCAAACUGCCAUGUUGUGGAGAGGACCAUCUAGCUGGGAACAAUAAGUGGCCUCUAGGAGCUGACGUCUUAGUUCUGCAACCACAAGGAAUUGAGUCCUGCCAACAACAAGUGAGCUCAGAGAAGACCCCUGAGCCUCAGAUAAGAUCACAGCCCCAGCCAACACCUUGAUUUCAGCCUCACGAGACCCCAAGCAGAGGACCCAGCUAAGCUGUGCUUGGACUCCCAGCCCACGGAAACUGCAAGAUAAUAAACAUGUUUUACGCUGCUAAGUUUUGGCAAUUUGUUAUGCAGCAAUAGAAAAUGCACCCAGUCCAUUGCCGUGUUCAGUGAGCACGUCUUUGCGGAGUGUGUCCAUUUUUUGUAAGGAUGCUGUUCUACUCCUUCCGUUUCUUUUCUAAAUAAUAACUUUGCAUGAGAUUUGACCUGUAUAUUUUUCUGCUGUUAAUUAUCAUUUGAAGUUA